GAAGUACAAUGACCGUGUCCUUUAAU
rnacentral:miRNA from 1 species